rnacentral:rRNA from 1 species
UACGUAGGCGGCAAGCGUUGUCCGGAAUUAUUGGGCGUAAAGCGCGCGCAGGCGGUCUUCCAAGUCAGUGGUGAAAGCCCGGAGCUCAACUCCGGAACUGCCAUUGAAACUGUAAGACUUGAGGAUGAGAGAGGUGAGCGGAAUUCCCAGUGUAGAGGUGAAAUUCGUAGAUAUUGGGAAGAACACCGGUGGCGAAGGCGGCUCACUGGCUCGUUACUGACGCUCAGGCGCGACAGCGUGGGGAUCAAACAGG